rnacentral:rRNA from 1 species
UAAAGCAAUUAAGAGCACAUGGUGAAUGCCUAGGGUCUGAGAGGCGAUGAAGGACGUGGUAAGCUGCGAUAAGCUAAGGAGAGCUGCACACAAGCGUUAUAUCCUUAGAUUUCCGAAUGGGACAACCUAAUAUAUUGAAGAUAUAUUACUCGAAAGAGAGCCAACCCCGAGAACUGAAACAUCUAAGUACCGGGAGGAAAAGAAAACAAUAGUGAUUCCCUGAGUAGUGGCGAGCGAAAAGGGAUAAGCCCAAACCAAUUUGGCGUGCCGAAUUGGGGUUAUAGGACUACAUUUAGAACUGAUUAUCAAGUUGAAUCUUUUGGAAAGAAGAGCUAUAGCAGGUGAUAGCCCUGUAAACACAAAUUAAUCACGACGCGUAGUAUCCUGAGUAAGGCGGAACCGGAGGAAUUCUGCCCGAAUUUGCCAGCACCAUCUGGUAAGGCUAAAUACUCCUCAGACACCGAUAGUGAACCAGUACCGUAAGGGAAAGGUGAAAAGUACCCUGAAUAAGGGAGUGAAAUAGUACCUGAAACCGUGUGCUUACAAGCGGUCGGAGCUUAGUAAUGAGUAACGGCGUGCCUUUUGCAUAAUGAACCUACGAGUUGCUCCUCACUGGCGAGGUUAAGUUCUUUAAUAACGGAGCCGAAGCGAAAGCGAGUCCAAAUAGGGCGAAUAGUCAGUGGGGGCAGACGCGAAACUUUGUGAUCUAUCCAUGGGCAGGUUGAAGGUGUGGUAACACACACUGGAGGACCGAACUCGUGAGCGUUGAAAAGCUCUGAGAUGACCUGUGGAUAGGGGUGAAAGGCCAAUCAAACUGAGAGAUAGCUCGUUCUCCCCGAAAUGUUUUUAGGAACAGCGUCGCAUAUAGAAGUUUAUUAGAGGUAGAGCUACUGAUUGGGCUAGGGGGCUUCACCGCCUACCAAACCCUGACAAACUCCGAAUGCUAAUAAAUAUCUGCGGCAGUGAGGCUGUGGGCGCUAAGGUCCAUGGCCGAGAGGGAAAUAACCCAGAUUAGCAACUAAGGUCCCUAAUACAUAGUUAAGUUGAUCAAACGAGGUGGGAUUUCUAUAACAGCCAGGAUGUUUGCUUGGAAGCAGCAAUUCAUUUAAAGAGUGCGUAACAGCUCACUGGUCGAGAGGUCCUGCACGGAAAAUAAUCGGGCAUCAAACUAUGAACCGAAGUUCUAAACUCUAACUUGUUAGAGUGGUAGGGGAGCAUUGAAAUCUGCAUAGAAGGUGUAUGGCGACAUAUGCUGGAGCGAUUUCAAAAGAAAAUGUAGGUAUAAGUAACGAUAAAAGGAGUGAAAAACUCCUUCGCCGAAAGUCUAAGGUUUCCUGAUCAACGUUAAUCGGAUCAGGGUUAGUCUGGUCCUUAGGAGAACCCGAAAGGGGCAUCUGAUGGAAAGAAGGUUAAUAUUCCUUCACCUACUAUACAUUAAAAGUGACGGAGAAUGCUAGCUACAUAGGCAGACGGAUGCUGAGUGAAUCCUUCGGGUGAAGCGUAGUAGUGAAAGUUCUUCCAAGAAAAGCGAGUAUAGCAGCCAGUACCGCAAACCGACACAGGUAGACGGGAUGAGUAUUCUAAGGCGCUCGGGUGAGCCGUGGAGAAGGAACUAGGCAAAUUAACGCUGUAACUUCGGGAUAAAGCGUACCAUAGAGAUAUGGUCACAGUAAAAUGAUUCAACCAACUGUUUAACAAAAACACAGGGCCCUGCAAAAUCGAAAGAUGACGUAUAGAGCCUGAAACCUGCCCGGUGCUGGAAGGUUAAGGAAGGGUGUUCGGCGUAAGCCAAAGCUCCUGACUGAAGCCCCAGUAAACGGCGGCCGUAACUAUAACGGUCCUAAGGUAGCGAAAUUCCUUGUCGGGUAAGUUCCGACCUGCACGAAUGGUCUAAUGAGUUGAACACUGUCUCCUCCACGAGCCCGGUGAAAUUGUAGUAUCGGUGAAGAUGCCGGUUACCCGCCACGGGACGGAAAGACCCCGUGAACCUUCACUACAACUUUGCAUUGAUUUUGAGCAACCGAUGUGUAGGAUAGUUGGGAGACUUUGAAGCAGUGUCGCUAGGCAUUGUGGAGUCAACGUUGAAAUACCAACCUUCGUUUGCUUAGAACCUAAUCCCUAAAGGGAGAAAGUGCAUGGUGGGUAGUUUGACUGGGGUGGUCGCCUCCUAAAAAGUAACGGAGGCUUGCAAAGGUACCCUCAGUACGGUUGGUAAUCGUAC